rnacentral:rRNA from 1 species
CAGCCGCCGCGGUAAUACCGGCGGCCCGAGUGGCGGCCACUAUUAUUGGGCUUAAAGCGUCCGUAGCCGGGUUGGGAAGUCCUCCGGGAAAUCUGGCCGCUUAACGGUCAGAAUGCCGGAGGAUACUCCCAGCCUAGGGAGCGGGAGAGGCCGAGGGUAUUCCCGGAGUAGGGGUGAAAUCCUAUAAUCCCGGGAGGACCACCUGUGGCGAAGGCGCUCGGCUGGAACGCGUCCGACGGUGAGGGACGAAGGCCAGGGGAGCAAACCGGAUUAGAUACCCGGGUAGUCCUGGCUGUAAACGAUGCGGACUUUGUGUCGGACAAGCUAUGAGCUUGUCCGGUGCCGGAGGGAAACCGUUAAGUCCGCCGCCUGGGGAGUACGGCCGCAAGGCUGAAACUUAAAGGAAUUGGCGGG